UGAGGAAUCUUGCGCAAUGGAGGAAACUCUGACGCAGCCAUGCCGCGUGAAGGAAGACACCCCGCUGGGGCGUAAACUUCUUUUGUAUGGGAAGAAACGUGGGCUCAUGCCCACCUGACGGUACCGUACGAAUAAGGACCGGCUAACUCCGUGCCAGCAGCCGCGGUAAUACGGAGGGUCCAAGCGUUGUCCGGAAUCACUGGGUGUAAAGGGUGUGUAGGUGGACUUAUAAGUCAGAGGUGAAAGCCCACGGCUCAACCGUGGAAUUGCCUUUGAUACUGUAAGUCUUGAGUCCUGGAGGGGCUGUUGGAAUUCGUGGUGUAGCGGUGAAAUGCGUAGAUAUCACGAGGAACACCAGAGGCGUAAGCGAACAGCUGGACAGGUACUGACACUGAGGCACGAAAGCGUGGGGAGCAAACA
rnacentral:rRNA from 1 species